rnacentral:sRNA from 1 species
UAGCUCAAGCUCCUCGUGCACCACGUCCCU